rnacentral:tRNA from 1 species
GGGCCGUUAGCUCAGUGGUAGAGCGCCUCAUUUGCAAUGAGGAGGCCACCGGUUCGAUCCCGGUACGGUCCA